rnacentral:rRNA from 1 species
GCUUGUCUCAAAGAUUAAGCCAUGCAUGUCUCAGUACAAGCCAAAUUAAGGUGAAACCGCGAAAGGCUCAUUAAAUCAGUUAUGGUUCCUUAGAUCGUACCCACAAUUACUUGGAUAACUGUGGUAAUUCUAGAGCUAAUACAUGCAAACAGAGCUCCGACCGGAGACGGAAGGAGUGCUUUUAUUAGAUCAAAACCAAUCGGUGGCGGGUUCGCGCUCGUUAUCGUACAACUUGGUGACUCUGAAUAACUUUACGCUGAUCGCACGGUCAUCGCACCGGCGACGCAUCUUUCAAAUGUCUGCCUUAUCAACUGUCGAUGGUAGGUUCUGCGCCUACCAUGGUUGUAACGGGUAACGGGGAAUCAGGGUUCGAUUCCGGAGAGGGAGCCUGAGAAACGGCUACCACAUCCAAGGAAGGCAGCAGGCGCGCAAAUUACCCACUCCCGGCACGGGGAGGUAGUGACGAAAAAUAACGAUACGGGACUCAUCCGAGGCCCCGUAAUCGGAAUGAGUACACUCUAAACCCUUUAACGAGGAUCAAUUGGAGGGCAAGUCUGGUGCCAGCAGCCGCGG